rnacentral:rRNA from 1 species
AUUGAACGCUGGCGGCAUGCCUUACACAUGCAAGUCGAACGGCAGCACGGGAGCAAUCCUGGUGGCGAGUGGCGAACGGGUGAGUAAAGUAUCGGAACGUGCCCAGUCGUGGGGGAUAACGUAGCGAAAGUUACGCUAAUACCGCAUACGAUCUAUGGAUGAAAGCGGGGGAUCGCAAGACCUCGCGCGAUUGGAGCGGCCGAUAUCAAAUUAGGUAGUUGGUGGGGUAAAGGCCCACCAAGCCGACGAUCUGUAGCUGGUCUGAGAGGACGAGCAGCCACACUGGGACUGAGACACGGACCAGACUCCUACGGGAGGCAGCAGUGGGGAAUUUUGGACAAGGGGCGAAAGCCUGAUCCAGCCAUGCCGCAUGCAGGAUGAAGGCCUUCGGGUUGUAAACUGCUUUUGUACGGAACGAAAAGGACUGCCCUAAUACGGUGGUCCCAUGACGGUACCGUAAGAAUAAGCACCGGCUAACUACGUGCCAGCCGCCGCGGUAACAC